AACAAACGCUGGCGGCGUGCCUAACACAUGCAAGUCGUACGAGAAAGGGUCCUUCGGGGCCUGAGUAAAGUGGCGCACGGGUGAGUAACGCGUGGAUAAUCUGCCCUUCAGUUGGGAAUAACUCAUCGAAAGGUGGGCUAAUACCGAAUAAUGCUGUGAGACCUCGGUUGAUCAGCCAAAGAGAGCCUCUGCUUGCAAGCCCUCGCUGAAGGAUGAGUCCGCGUACCAUUAGCUAGUUGGUAGGGUAAUGGCCUACCAAGGCGACGAUGGUUGGCGGGUCUGAGAGGAGGAUCAGCCACACUGGAACUGAGACACGGUCCAGACUCCUACGGGAGGCAGCAGUGAGGAAUCUUGCGCAAUGGGGGCAACCCUGACGCAGCAACGCCGCGUGAGUGAGGAAGGUCUUCGGAUCGUAAAGCUCUGUCGGAUGGAAAGAACCGCAUAGGGGUAAACAGCCCCUGUGUCUGACGGUACCAUCAAAGGAAGCACCGGCUAACUCCGUGCCAGCCGCCGCAGUAAGAC
rnacentral:rRNA from 1 species